AGUGACUUUGCUGAGCCAGGUUUUUUACCUCAGUUUAUGCCUCCCCUGUCAAGACUUAUUAUAAGUAUAAACACUAGAUUCAACACUGGUUGCAAGGUGGCACAUGCCUUUAAUCCUGGCACUCAGGAAGAAGAAGCAGGUGGUUUUCUGAAUUCAAAACCAUCCUGGUAUCCUGGUCUACAGAGUGAAUUCUAGGCCAGGCAGGACUAUAUAGCUAGAUACUGUCUCAAAGGAGUUGUACUGAUACACACACAAAAAAUAAUACACCUAAUAAUUUUUUUUUAGAAGAAAACCAGCUGAGGCCAGAUGUGGUGACACAGGCCUUUAAUCCUAGCACUCAAAGUUAGAGGUCGGGGCUGGAGAGAUGGCUCAGCGGUUAAGAGUUCCGACUGCUCUGCCAGAGGUCCUGAGUUCAAUUCCCAGCAACCACAUGGUGGCUCACAACCAUCUGUAAUGAGGUCUGGUGUGUCUGAAGACAGCUACAGUGUACUCCUAUACAUUAAAUAAAUAAAUAAAUCUUUAAAAAAAAAAAGUUAGAGGUAGGUGGAUCUCUGUGAGUUCUGACCCUGUCUAACAAAACAAAAAAAGAA
rnacentral:lncRNA from 1 species